AGUCACCAGAGGAAAAAGAAACUGAAGGGAGGAACAUGAAAGAGGAUGGAGUGACGGCCCACAGGAUCGGGCUUGGCAAGGACAGAGUUAACCCUGGGAAAGUCAUUCUCCCCUUCUGAAGGUGCGGCUUAGAGACGGGAGGACACUUAGGAAGCAGUGAGAAAUUGGAUAUGCAGCCACCAAGCCAGGGCAGCUGAGUCCACCUGGUGGCCGGUGGGUGACAUGAAGGCAGUACUAUCAUCUCAAGUGAUUUCAAGAUAGGUUGCAGCAAAGUUAUCAAAGAUGGUCAGUAUUAAUGACGGCCAUGGAAGCUCCGAUUUGUGUAGACUGGAUCUUUUACUAAGUCCUUUCAACAUCCUUCACCUCAUUUGAUUUUCACCAUAGCCAUGUGAGACUUGACCUCUCAAAGAUGGGAAAGUUGAGGCCAAAAGAAGAUUUAACGAACUCGCCCAAAGACACACAGCUGGAAUGAAAGUUAUUUGAAAGUGACCCUUUGCAAUGGGAGCCUGAAGAUUGUUUAAUUUAUUGUGCACGGUCCUCUUUUUUUAUGCUAUGUGAAAUGUCAAGAAUAAUUUCCUUGUAAUCAACAAUGUUCAUUUCUUUGUUUCUUUCCCUUUUACUGCCUUUUCAGAAACUCUGCUGAUGUCUUUUGGAAGCGUCUAUUCCAAUGAGUCUUUUCCAGCUUUCCAUUAUUGGUGAGGUGUGAGGGAACUAGUC
rnacentral:lncRNA from 10 species